rnacentral:rRNA from 1 species
UUGGUCAAUGGCCGAAAGGCUGAACCAGUAACUUGGAAGAAUGUAAGUGUAUUUGUAUAAAUACAAUAGCGAUUAAUUCGCAUAAAAUUCUAAAUAGAUAUAUUAUAAUGACAUAAUCUAUUUAUAAGUCUUGACCAAACUACGUGCCAGCAGUCGCGGUAAUACGUAGAAGGCUAGUGUUAGUUAUCAUUAUUGGGUUUAAAGGGUGUGUAGACAGUAAAUUAAACUUUAAAAGAGUACUUUUUUACUAGAGUUAUAUGUGAGAAGGAAGAAUUUCUGGAGUAGAGAUAAAAUCUUUUGAUACCAGAAGGACUGUCAACGGCGAAGGCGUCCUUCUAUGUAAUAACUGACGUUGAGAUACGAAGGCUUGGGUAGCAAACAGGAUUAGAUACCCUAAUAGUCCAAGCAGACAAUGAUGAAUGUCAUACAUUAGAGAAAUUUAAUGUAUAAACGAAAGUGUAAGCAUUCCACCUCAAGAGUACUAUGGCAACAUAUAAACUGAAAUCAUUAGACCGUUUUUGAAACCAGUAGUGAAGUAU